rnacentral:Y_RNA from 10 species
GGCUGGUCCAAGUGCAGUGGUGUUUACAACUAAUUGAUCACAACCAGUUACAGAUUUCUUUGUUCCUUCUCCACUCCCAUUGUGUCACUUGGCUAGCCUAAA